ACUAAAAUACCAGUUCUUGUCCAUUCACCAAAGUUAAGCAAUGUCAAGCCUAGUUAGUACCUAAAUGGGUGACCGCAUGGGAAUACCAAGUGCUGUAAG